rnacentral:rRNA from 1 species
GACGAACGCUGGCGGCGUGCUUAACACAUGCAAGUCGAACGGAAAGGCCCUGCUUUUGUGGGGUGCUCGAGUGGCGAACGGGUGAGUAACACGUGAGUAACCUGCCCUUGACUUUGGGAUAACUUCAGGAAACUGGGGCUAUUACCGGAUAGGAGCUCUUGCUGCAGGGUGGGGGUUGGAAGGUUUCGGCGGUUGGGGAUGGACUCGCGGCUUAUCAGCUUGUUGGUGGGGUAGUGGCUUACCAAGGCUUUGACGGGUAGCCGGCCUGAGAGGGUGACCGGCCACAUUGGGACUGAGAUACGGCCCAGACUCCUACGGGAGGCAGCAGUGGGGAAUAUUGCACAAUGGGCGGAAGCCUGAUGCAGCAACGCCGCGUGCGGGAUGACGGCCUUCGGGUUGUAAACCGCUUUCGCCUGUGACGAAGCGUGAGUGACGGUAAUGGGUAAAGAAGCACCGGCUAACUACGUG